AGAGGGAGCCCCACCACCCUCAGGCUUCCUGAUCUCACUCUCCACACCCACUCUCGCUCUGCCUGACCUGGCCUUUGCUCUCCCAGACUUGCCUUGCCUUUUUGGAUCUGACCCUUGCUGGUUCCUUGCUGUCGCCUCGAACCCGCUCAAAACUAACUCUGAUGGAACACUCAGGGCACGACUCCUCCCGCCUCUGGGGCAUACACCUCCCUCCGCAGCAGGGCUGGGAGUUGGUGCCACCGAAACAGCCUCCGCCCUCCUUCUGGGUUUUUCUGUUGGUUUCCAGGGUGCCAUUUCCUCCUGCCCUCUCUGUCUCUUUCAUGUUUUAUUUUUUAUAGCUGUGGGGAGUCUUUGAGGAUGGGGUGGGGUGAGACGCAGGCCAUAGGCCCCCCUUCAUCAAGAGUGGAAGUCAGCGGGAGGAAAAAGGAUGUCCUUAAAGUGGCGUGAAGAAGCUCUCUCUCCCCUUCAGAGGGCAGAAGGGAAAUCCUGAGCAAGUUCCUGGUAUCAGCGACCCAAUCUACCUCCUCUAGAUGUUGUGGAGAUAAAACGUUUCUCUCUCUCCCCAAGCCCUGGAUUCUUGUUUUGUAAAAUGAUGACAAUGAUGAUUCCGGCUUAGGCAACUUCAUCAGGCUGCUAUGUGGAGCCCAGCAGAUACUGGAUGUGAAAGUACUUGGAAACUACUGCAGCAUCUUCCAGAGGAGAAGGCCUCCGGGGGUUGAGCCUUUGCCUUGGACUUCGGGACAGAUGUGGUAGAAGCAGAUACAGCUCUGCAGGCUUUCUGGAGAACCCUCUUACUCCCACUCUGGUGUGGCCCCCAGGCACCUGAGGCUUGGAGCCACAGAACCUUGGAGGUGCUCUGGCUGCGUUUCACCUUGGGCCACUUCACGAACCUCUCACCCCCUAUUCUGGGACUUUCUGCCCUGUAGUAUUGACAUUCACCAAUGUGUAACCUGGAGCUGCACAAGACUGGCCUUGGCGAGUUGUGGAUAGGACCCUGGAGAUAAGUGCUUCCCUUUUCAGUGCUCAGUGCUCCGGUGGGCAGUCUUCAGCUGCUUUUCGUAAAGCUUUUUAGGAAUGCCCAAGGAAUGGAGCACUCUCCCCUCUUCCUUGUUCCCCUCUGCGCAGGACCUCACUCCAGCCCUCUGGGCUCAUCACCCAAAUGAACACCCCGAUGGCAACUUUUGUGUCCAGCCCUGCUUUGGGAGGAAACCACUAAGACAAGAUGCUGAAGAACAGCUGUUCAUCUGGUUUUUGCUCAGAAGUAUGCCCCACGCCCAGUGUCCCAGAGCUGCGAGGAGCCCAUGCGGGCCAGGGAUGGUGGGUGGGAGGGCCUCCCAGGACACGCAGAGAAUGGCCCAGCCACUGGUGAGCCUGCCUGGGGUCUUGGCAGAGGAUCCUUCUGAUCUACUUAAAGACAGACGAAGCUUGGAGGGUUAUUCCCAGGCUCUUGGGGAUACUGCAGGCCCUGCCCAUUUGGUCACCCAAGCCCCUAAACUCUGGUGGGCUUCGCUCAGCCCACACCCACUGUUCCUAU